GGCCGGUUUAGGUGGGGGAGGGCCGCUGGAAUCCGUACUCCUGAGAGACGACCAUUUUAUGAGGUGGGGGCGCGCGGCUUAGCCGAUCUUAGUGAAAGGAAACGGAGGUGAAAAUCCUGAGGCGAACACGUUGUUGUCUGGUGUUUGUGCAUUUGAAGAAGAGUCACCUCUUCCAGACUUUAUGGAAUGACUUUGUGGCCCAGAUGAGUGAGUCAGCAUUUCAAGAGGAACCUAAACCUGCUCAGGAAAAUGGAAAAGAAGACAAAGAAAACAAACCCGAAGAAACUGAAGUGAAAGAACCUACUGAGAGUUCACAGGGUGUACCAGGCAGUUCUGCAUUAGACACCAGCAGCAAUGUGGCCGAAACAGAAGCAGAUGAAAUCAAAUCCCAAGAAAUACACCUGGAAGGGCAGUCAAAAACUUCAGUUUGUUCAAUAAAGGACUCUAGCACUAGAGUCUCAAAGAAUUUUGUGGUUAGAAAACCUGCAAAAGUGAUCUUCAAUUUAGAUCCAACUGCGCUGAAUUCAAAGCUAGAACAGCCAUGGAAGAAAAAUUUUUUUGAAAGAUUGGAGGCAAAAGCCCAGAAAAUGCAGCAGAAAAUAAUAGAUAAGGAUAACCUGAAUAAAGAACUAGAAAAAAAGGCUGAAAAAAACCUCCCUAGGGAUAAUUUGGCCAAAGAGUGGUUUAAUGCUGAAAGCAUAACAUUGGACAGUCGUGCAUAUUUGCUGGACAAACUUCUACCUACCUUAGUUCCUGGCGUGGAAAAAAUGUUAAUGCAAGUGGAAAAGAAGAAGCUUUGGGCAGAAGGUGAUAUUACAACCAAGUUUAAUCCAAAUAAUCAUUUGGGGGAAUACUUAAUGAGAAACAAUCCUUAUUAUAUAAAAGAUUCAGGAAUGUCUGGUUAUCAAAGAGUGAUGAGGGAUGUCACAGAAGACCUGAAGAUACAUGUUCCCAACACUGUUGGCAACAGAGUAACCAAGAUGAAGGAGAGUAUUAAACAGAAACGAGAACAAAGACAAUUCAUAAAAGAAGUCAAAGUCAGGGUGACCAAAACACGGAAGCAGGCUCUGCAGGAGCAAUUCAGUGAAUGGAUUCUAGACCCCAAAGGAACAAUUCCUAUGGUUGUGAUUCAGAAUGUUCUUCAUGAAUUUUUUCAAAAUCCAGAUUUACAGCUUGAAAUAUGUUGCAAACCAAUGGAUAUUGUUGACUCGAUGGGACCAAGAUUGAACAAAACAGAAUUUAUAGAAUAUGUCUCUUCAUAUGUUGCAGACUUUAAAAAUGAAAUGUUCGAGAAACUCCUUAAGCACUUUUGUCAUUGUGCAGAUGAAUUCCGGGAGGUUAUAAAAACAGACAUGCGGAGGCAGAUAUUUGCUGAACUCUUCCUGCAUUGUGACCAUGGGAAGGUAGGAUUUUUGGAUCGGCAGAGGACAUUGGCUUUGUUGGAAACAUUCUAUGACCAAAGUUCAAAAAUGCUUAGAAGUUUGCUACGAAACCCAAGACAAUGGCCAUUCAUUGAAUUUGAAGAGAUAGAUUUGCCUGAGUUCUGGGGAGACAUGGAUAAUCAGAAACAUAUUUAUGAAGACUUUGACAAAGUGCUCUUAGAGAUGAAUGCACAACUUUCUGAAAAAUAUGCUAGCAAAACCCAAAGCAAAUUGUUAGAAACUCCAGAAGAUCAACAUUAUCAUGAUGAACAUAGUGAAUCAACACUACCAGAACAGCAGAGAGGGACAACUGCAGAACAAGAACGAAACAGAAUUUUAAGCAAGGAACAAGAACAAGGCAGAGAGUUAACUGGAGAAAAAGAACUAGACAAAGACUCAGUAACAGAACAAGAAACCCACACAGGGUCAACUCCAGAACAGGGAUCAAGUAGAGAGUUAAUAAUAGAACAAAGACUACAUAGUGACUCAGUAAUAGAACAAGAGCCACCACAAAGCAUGUCUUCUUCAGAACAAGGAGUCAACAUGGGAACAACUGCAGAACAAGGACUCUACAGAGAAUCAAUAGCAGCACAAGGACAACACAAACGGUCAGACACAGAACAAGGACCACACAGAGGGUCAACCUCAGAACAAGGAUCACGCAGACAGUCAGUAAUAGAACAAGAACCACUCAAAGGGUCAACUGCAGAACAAGAGCCAUCCAGAGAGAUAUUCCCAGAAAGACAACAGGAUUCAACCUUACAAUCAGGAAGAGAUAGUAUUUUCAGAGAAAGUAAAAUAUUUAGGAAUGCUACUUCCUUUGAGUACACUGAAAUCUCCCCACAGAAAGAGAGGACUCAGGAACAAACCUAUGAAAAAGAACUAUUUGUGAGUUCUGAGCUGCAAGAAGAAGUCUCAACAUCACGAAGAAAAGAUCAUCUUUCAGAAACUACAAAAAAGGAAAUUCAGAAAGAUCCAUCCUGUGAAAAGUCCCAAAAAAUAGAAGGAAAGUCAUGGUCAGGUGAACUUCUUACUUGUAACUGGAAGAUGAAUUAUUUCAAAUGUGAAGAUGAGGAGCAAGCCAACUUACUCUACAGUGAUAACAGGUUCACAGACCUACACUCAAUUAUCAGAAAUAUUCAGUCUUACAAGGAAGUAAAAGGUAGAAGUGCUUUCAAUGGAGUUUCCUUCAAUCUGCUCCAGUUUGUGCAACUUUUGGAGACAUUUGUUGGUGAAGAUGUCCCCUUGAGUGUCAGUGAGACUCUCACAACCUUUUUUAAGAGGGGCUAUGUUGAAACAAAAGAAGAGAAAAUAAGUGGCUUAGAACAGACUAGACAAAAUGCUUCCAGAGUCCGACAGGAACUUCUCCUAGAAGCCCUGUUUCAGAAGUGGGACAGUGAUGGCUCAGGCUUCUUGGAUCUGAAGGAAAUUGAUGAACUUUUGUACACAUACAAGGAGGGAAUGGAAAAAGAAUCCAUGAAGAAAGCUAAACUACACAUCCAAUUUCCAAAGCCACAACCUGAUCAAGAAGUGAGACUGUCUUCAAAACAAUUUCAGAAAUACAUAGAAUUGGUUGUCUCUGAACUCAGGGGCAAUGAAGAUCAUGUUCUGGAAAGUAUUGUGGAGUUUCUGGUGAAUACUUUAGAAAGGAGCCAUACUGAGAAUCUGAGGAAUUGUGCCAGACGAAAGUGGCUAUACCAAAUCCAACAUGCUGCAGAGACAAGUGGAGUAUCCCUGGAGCCUGUGUACACUGAAACCUUUAAGGCCCUCACCCAGGAUGCUGAAGCCCAUGGAAAUAAGAAGAUCUGUGCUCAUAUUUCCCUCUUAGAAGAAAACCUACUACUGCCUGAUAGAGGGGAAGUUGUAUUAAGGAACGUAGCUUGUACUUUAGAUGAUGCUCCAUUUGUACUGAACAAAGUGCUCUACAGGGACAUGAAGGGAAUCAGCUUUACAGUAGUGGAUGAAGGUAAGCCAAUACACGUCCCCCAAGUUCAGCACCAUGGGAACGUCUUUUUCUGGAACCAUUCCCUCAAGAAGAGUGAUCAAAAUGGAUCAUUCCUGGCCCUGCCUCUUCAGGAUGCAUACAUGAGGAUCUUUGGGGUCAUGGCUGUGGACACCCUAAGAGAUAAAAAAAAAAUAAACAUCUUUGUACCUCAUGAGAUCAGAUUCUAUCAGGGUGUUGCUAAUGUCUUUAGCACUGCCUAUCACUAUGUCCACAGCAGGGAGCACAUCCUGCAUGUUGUGAUUACUGGCAUUGGCUGGCUCUGUGACAUCACAUCUGACAUCACCGCCAUCACUACAUACUUCAUUGAGCCUGGCCUAAUGCAGGCUUCUUCCUCUCUGAGUGGUUGGACCAAGCUGAUAAGGCCCUGGCCAAAGAGCAGAAUCACAGAGCUCUCUGGCAGAAUGAACAGACUGUGGAGGUGGAGAACGCAUAGUCCCGGAGACUUCCUCUUUAAAUGUACAGACAGUUCCGAAGUUGUCUUGGCCUCUGUCUGUGGAGAAAACCACAUACUAAUUCCACUCCGUGAGAGAACAGGAAAAGCUUUGGGAGUUCUUGAUUUUAACAUUGGCAAGAGUAAAAUGUUAUUGUAUCGAGAAUUUAAAGACCUACAGAAAAUGAUGAAAGUGGUCCAAGCUGCCUGCUACGAAAUACUGGGCGAAUUAUCUGGAGAAAUAAAGAAAAACUAUAUCCUAGAGAUUGAAAAUGUAGGAGAAGUCCAGCGGGCAGGAGUUCUCUUUUUCCGAAUCAUGCUACAAGAGCUGCAAGAAAGCCUCCGAUUGCUUACCUCCAUAGACUUUGUAUCACUGUUGAUCUAUGAUUAUCAUAUUCCAGCAGAGUCCGUAUCUCUACCAGACAGCAAGACCCAGGAGUUGGAAGCCAACAUAAAGCUAGUACAGGACAUCCUGAUAGGGGUUAUUUUGUUCAUCCAUCCAGAGUUGGAAUUAUCAAGUGAGUUUGGAAAUUGGGAGAAGUGUAAACUGGUAAGUUUUUAAAAGUACUCUCUUUACUGAAGAAUAACACACACAGGUUUCGGUCUACCAAUAAUAAUUGUACAAAUCCUAAAUGUACAAAUGCAAGGAUUUUCAUACAAUGAACAUUUUUAACCAGCAUCUAGAUCAAGAAACAUUAGCAGCAUCCCCAAAACCUUCCUUUGUAUCCUCUCCCAUACACCCCGCAUCACACAUUCGUACACACACCCACACACACCCCAGAGUGACCAGAUCAGAAUCAUUCCUGACUUCUAACACCAUAGAUUGGUUUUGCCUGUUUUAAAAUGUACAUAAAUGGAAUUAUGUAAACUGGUGAAUUGGGUACUCUACUUCCACUUGCUGGUGCUCCCCCAUCACUUUUGUUCUUUUGUUCACAGUAUGUUAGCAGAUAUUUAGUCGAGAAUAUUUGUGACUUUGAUCCAACUGCUAAGCAUGUGGAAGUUAAUUUACAGCUCAUUGGUGAAUAUAUCAGAGAUUCUAUGCAUCUAUUCAUGAGAGACACACACACAGGGAGAGAGGCAGAC